CAUUGUAGAGGGAUUGCGUUGUAUGCACCAGUUUUCAAAUCUCUGAAGUUAAGCAAUGUUGCGCGUGGUUGGUAUCUGGACGGUUUACCGUCUGGGACAACACGAGCUGCUGGCU
rnacentral:rRNA from 1 species